rnacentral:lncRNA from 1 species
AUGGCUGCUACUGCAAUAGACUAUUAUUCCAGAAAACCAUUUGUGAAAUACAUUAUUGUUAGCAAUGUGCUCAUUUCCUUGUCAACAGAAAUGUCUUUCUUUUUUCUUUUUAUUUUAUUGCGUGUGUGUGUUUUUUGUUUGUUUGUUUGUUUGUUUUUUGAGACAGAGUCUCACUCUCAAAUGCAGUGGUGCAUUCUCAGCUCACUGCAACCUCUGCCUUCUGGAUUCAAGAAGUUGGCCCCCCUUUUAAUAAUUAACAGCAACUAGUUUUCUGUGUUCCAUCUCCCUUCAAUCAAACUGAAAGGAAGAAUUUGAUAUCUGAAAAACAUCCUUGACACCUCAUCCAUUUUAUUCUUUCAAUAAAGUUAUUGAGCACCUACUAUGUGCCAGGCACUGUAUGAGGCAUAAAGAAUACAAAAUUGAACAAUGACAAUGACAGAAACAAAAUUCCUGUCCUCAUGGAGUUUACAAUCUAGUGGUUCUGACAUUAAACCAAUACAUACAAAAUUACACGUGUUAAAUGCUAAGUAGAGGUAUGUGGUCAGGUGAGAUGUAUAACAGCGGGUCUUACUCUGUGACAGAAAUUAGGGAAUGUUUCCCUGAGGAAGUGAUGAACUAAGAUCUGAAAGACAAAUAGGAAUUAAUUAGGCAAUGGGAAGGGAUAGAUAUUUCAGGCCAAAGAAACAGCAUGAACAAAAGUCUUAUGCUGGAUGAAGCACUGUAAUUCUCAUUCCAAAUACUUAAAGGACAAUGAAGGUAUUGAGUAAAACAUGGUACAUAUGAGGCUAAGUGGCAACAAGAAUAGGUAACCUCUAUUGAGUGUUUUUUAGGUGAUGUGCCAGCCACUGUUUUAUUCUGAGACAGUAACUAUUUUAAUGCUUGGAACUAUGCUUUAGAUAGUGGCCCUAAUAUAUCUGACCUCAUAUGUCAAAUAUAUUUGGUCACAUAAAAUAUUUCCAUCAUUAAGGACAAUAAAAAGCCACUCAAGUGUUUUAAGCUAGGGGUGCAAGUGGGGGUAGGUAGGUGGGUUGUCUGGAUUAAAAUUCAACUUUGAAUAAAAAGAAGAAUUCUGCCUGCAGUAGAGUCAAUACAGGGAGGGCCAGAGUCGCUGCAAGAAGAAGAGUUAGGAGACAACAGCAGUUAUGCAUACAAAAGGUGCUGAUGGUAGCUUAGAUUAGGGAGUGGUAAGAAGUGAAGUAGACACAUUUGAGAGAUGUUUAUAAGGUAAAAAUGACAGGACUUGAUGAAGAAGUGAUAGGGAGAGGAAGAUGUCUUAAGAUGAUUUCCAUGUUACCAGUUUGGGAACAGGGGGAAUGGCGGUGGCAUUCACUGGGAUAAGAUGCCUCGAUUAGACUGUAGGUUAACACAAACUUGUUAAAAAGGGGGUAUAACUCCCCUACUGACAUGUAUUGAAUAAAAACCCACAGAAGAAUUCCUGGUGAGUUUCUUCC